AGUAAAUAUAAAACAUGAGUAUAUUUUAUAUUUACUGAUACAUGUAGAUACAUUGAUUGAUAAAGCUCAAUGAUACGGUGGCAUAAUCAGGACACGCAAAUAUUAUUACUGGGUAGUAACUACGUCGAACACUCGACAUAAAUAUCUCAUGCGCUCGGCAUCAGUGUAGACCAUUACGUAAAUAUCAAGAUCACUGUCAUGAUCGUGUGCAGGAUUGGACAAAACAAGAUGGCAGACGGCAUUUCCAAACAAAGAUACAAUCAGGAGCGGACUUCCUUAAGCUUAAAAGUUGCAAGUGAAUGAAGUGUGUUCUAUUUUAUGUCUCCUACUAAAACCAUAGUUUUGAUAAACCUAAAAGAGCACAUGGAGCAAGGAACUAUCAGUAAGCCGGAAGAGCCAGCUCGGAAAUCUUUAAGUGUUUGAGAAUUUCACCGCGCACAUGAAUCUAAAGUUCUGCCAUACGUUAGAAGGAGCCUUGUUCUCGAAGAUCAACAUGUUGAAAAGUCUUCAUUUUGCAGAAGCAAAUACAUUUAUAUUGUAUAUACACAUGUAGACCAUGUUCGAUUCCCAACCACUUAACAUUUGUGAUAUCUGCAUGGAAUUAUUAAAACUGAGCAUGGUUUGACGUAUAAUAAUCUCUUCAGGCAUGAUGGUUUACAUUUCACAAAGCUGUUCAAUGACAAUAAAGACUAUAAGAUGU